rnacentral:siRNA from 1 species
GGGAUUGGCAAAGUCAAAUGUGG